CUAUCCUCUCUAUAUCCCAACUUCCCUCAACCUCUUUCCCCAUCAGCGUAUAAAUUCCUGACUUCCCCAAAAUACGUACGAUCCUUAUCAGAAAAACAGACUAAAAUUGAGGGAAAACCAUAGACGGAAAAUGACAGAGAAAAAACAGGAAAAGAAGGAAAAAACAGAGUGAAAAAUAAGAAGAAGGAAAGCAGAAACAGAGAGAAAGAAAAAGAAAGAGAAAAAAAAAUCAGGUUCAGAAUUCGGAGUUUCGUUCGAGUUACCGGUGACGACAUUCUUGCUUUUACGCCUUGAUCAAAACAUAGAAACGAUCCCCAAACAAUGAAGAAAUUACAGCAAAACAUGCUAAGAAGGACAAGAAAAAAGAAGGUAGUUCUAAGAAAAGAGGAUCCAACAGUCUUGCAAGUAAAGCUCCCGCCAAAAGAAGAAGAAUUGUCGAAGAAAUUUGUAGAGAUGAGCUUCCUAAGGUAAUUGCAUGUUCAGAUAUGUUGAAUAUUAUACUGAGAUACAUAUUUUGACUUGGGUGAUACAUUUAGAAAUUCAUUGUUUAUCUGAAGAAUGAAGCUAAUUUUAUAUGUGUCUUGUGAUUUUUUGU